rnacentral:rRNA from 1 species
ACGCGUGGGUAGCGUGCCCAUCGGUUCGGGAUAACCCUAGGGAAACGUUGGGCUAAUACCGGAUACGCCCUUUGGGGGUAAAGAUUCAUUGCCGUAUGGAUCGGCCCGCGUCUGAUUAGCUGGUUGGUGAGGUAACGGCUCACCAAGGCUGACGAUCAGUAGCUGGUCUGAGUAGGAUGAUCAGCCACACUGGGACUGAGUACACGGCCCAGUACUCCUACGGGAGGCAGCAGUGGGGAAUAUUGGACAUAUGGGCGCAAGCCUGAUCCAGCCAUGCCGCGUGAGUGUAUGAAGGCCCUAGGGUUUGUAAAGCUCUUUCACCCACGACGAUAAUGACGGUAGCUUGGGAGAAGAAGCCCUCGGCUAACUUCGUGCC